rnacentral:rRNA from 1 species
GAUGAACGCUAGCUACAGGCUUAACACAUGCAAGUCGAGGGACCGGCGCACGGGUGAGUAACACGUAUCCAACCUGCCCUUUACUCGGGGAUAGCCUUACGAAAGAAAGAUUAAUACCCGAUAUAAAGGAUGGGGAUGCGUUCCAUUAGGUUGUUGGUGAGGUAACGGCUCACCAAGCCUUCGGUGGCUAGGGGUUCUGAGAGGAAGCUCCCCCGCGUUGGAACUGCGACACGGUCCAAACUGUGACGGGAGGCAGCAGUAAUGAAUAUUGGGCAAUAAGCGCUAGCCUGAACCUGCCAAGUAUCGUGAAGGAUGAAGGCUUAUUGAUCGUAAACUUCUUUUAUAUAAGAAUAUGUAUUAUAUGAAUAAGGAUCGGCUAACUCCGUGCCAGCAGCCGCGGUAAUAC